GGGGAUGUGGCUCAAGUGGUAGAGCGCUUGCCUAGCAUGCAUGAGGCCCUGGGUUCAAUCCUCAGCACCA
rnacentral:tRNA from 1 species